rnacentral:misc_RNA from 1 species
GAUGAAGAACGCAGCGAAAUGCGAUAAGUAAUGCGAAUUGCAGAAUUCCGUGAGUCAUCGAAUCUUUGAACGCACAUUGCGCCCUUUGGCAUUCCGAAGGGCAUGCCUGUUCGAGCGUCAUUUAUCAACCCUCAAGCCCGGCUUGCGGUUGGGUCCCGCCGUGGGCGACCACGGCGGACCCGAAAGGUAAUGGCGGUGCCCGUGGGGCCCUGGACGCAGCGAGCUUCUCGGCACGCGUCCCGGCGGUCCCCGGCGCCGUCUCCACCAAUCCACCACGCAGAUUGACCUCGGAUCAGGUAGGGAUACCCGCUGAACUUAAGCAUAUCAAUAAGCGGAGGA